rnacentral:lncRNA from 1 species
GCUGAAGGAAACCAGAGCCUCCAGGUUUCACCAAUAGAAAGGCAAUAUGCAAAUAUAGCCCCUCGUUAAUUGGCUGAGAGACAGAUGCGUACCAUUCAUUCAUGGGCUCGGUGCUUGGAGCUUUAUCGCUGCUUGGAGGUAGAGGUUACGCAUGAAAGCAAUUAUUGAGCUCCCACCUUGUGCUGAGUCCUGUGUCCGGGGAUAUAGGGGUGAGGAAGAGAGGCAAGGCACCGCCCUCGUGGAACUUGCAUUCUAGUAGGCUAAUAAACACGCAAAUGAACAAUAUACUUUCAAAUCGGGGUAGUGCAGCGAAGACAAUGCACCAGGGAGCUGUGAGGCGGCACCGUGACCAGCCCUGUGUGGGAAUGUCCUAAGUGCUGCCGAGGAGGCGGGACCAGUUAUCCUGGUGGUGGAGUGACGGGAGUGAAAGUGCUGCCUCAUAUGGUGAUUCCACAUUUGGCUUUUUGAGGAACUGUCAAACUGUUUUCCAUGAUGGCUGCACUAUUUGACAUUCUCACCAGCAACGUCUGAGGGUGGAAACCUUGAUUCUUAAAACCAAACAGGUGUCAGCUGCUUGCCAGGAAAUGGGCAGACUCUGGUGAACUGAUGCGCACGGUGCCCAGAUGCCAAGGGUCUCAACGAAUGCCGACUAAUGGAUGAGCAUAAUGCCAAGCACAGCCCUGCGGACAGAUGGACGGACUUGGGCUCCCUGCCUUCAACCCGUGGGAAUCCCUGGAAGCCUGAUGUCGGGGGAGAGGGUUUCACCUCACUUUCUCCUGAUUGUCCAGAAUGCUCUUUCCGGAGCCCUGUGUUCAGCCCCUGGAGGUCAUUGGGGUGUAGGAGGCAGCUGAUCCCACCCUGCUUCUGCUACUACAGGACCUGGCAAGUCACUCCACCUCUCUGAGCUUCAGUGUCCUCAUCUGUUCAAUGGGUAUAAUAACACUUGGCGGAUAGGUAAAGAUCAAAUGAAGCAGUAUGCAAAGCACCUGGGAUCCGACAAACACCAAAUGGAUGUCUGCUCUGUUUUUGUUUUUUUUUUCUGGUCAUCAUGCAUUAAGAAGGAGGGUGUGUGUGAUGUUGAAUUUAUUAACCAAUG